GACCUCUCUGAAGUAGUUUGAUUUAUUUAACAUAAUUGUGUUUGCAACACUGCCCUCUUUUGGUUAACCUGCAGCAGUACCUCUGGCUUAAGUUUCACUUUCAGUUAGUUGAGUGUGCCUCAGAGCAGAGUGCUGGUGUUGUUUUCUCUUGCUGCAAUUUCUUCCUUUUACAUUGUUGCCUUGGAUAUUAUUUGUCCUUUUACAGUGCAAUAAGAAAAGUAAAGUUUCUUCAUGGAACUCAAGAAAAGUUAUGCCUUGUGUUUUUUCUGGAGAACUUUACACUGUUAGCUAACUGUCAAGCUUUGAAGAAGCAACUCAUUGCAAGGACAGUAUAGUAAAAGGACAAGCGCACAGCGGGCAAAAUUGAACAAGGUUAUGUGCAGCAACAAUGAGUCUACGGUCAGGCAAACAGUACCAGCCAUCUUCUCAGAAUGAGAGUGUGGAAAAACAGCAAGAAGCUACUCAAAGUGCUGAUGCAUGUGCAAAGUCAGUACGGUCACGUGCUUCAAAACAGUCAAGUGGAGCUUCCACAGCUAGCUCCUCAGCUAUGAAAGCUCGGGCUAAAGCAGAGGCUGCCCGUGCUGAACUUUCCUUUGCCGAAGAAGAAGCCAGAAUUAUGAAGCAAAAAGCUGACCUUGAAGCAAAUCUUCAUAUAUUAAAAAGUCAGAAAGCUGUUGCUGCUGCGACAGCUGAAGCAGCUGCAUAUGAAGAAGAUGAUAAGUCUAUCAAGAGUGAAAUUAAUCCAGAGGUAUUAGAGUUACCUAUCAGUUCAGUUCAACGCACAUCUGAAUAUGUCAAACGACAUUCAAGAGCACACUCUGAGGAAUUUCCAUUGAAAGAUGAUCCACUAGUCUACCAAAAGGUGGCACGUGCACAAUGUGAAAUGGACAUGAAUGACACAGAUACUCAUCAUUAUGAGAAAAACAGAGAUGUUGAGAGUAGAAAAGCUUAUGUCAAACAACCACAACAAAAAGAGGAAGUUUACAAUAAACCUUACUACUCAGAAACAGCAAGAGAGUCAUUUCAUCCUCAAAAGAAGUCUUUAUCCGAAACUCAAGGUGUACAAGAUGUUACAAAAUACCUUAUUCGCAGGGAAAUGUUGAAUGCAGGUCUUCUGAAAUUUGACGAUCGUCCAGAGAAUUACUGGGCAUGGAAGGAAUCAUUUCAAAGUGCCAUACAAGAUCUCAACCUUUCAUCGAGGGAAGAACUGGAUUUGAUGAUAAAAUGGCUUGGUGAGGAGUCUGCGGAGCAAGCAAAGAGGAUUCGCUCUGUUCAUGUGUUCAACCCAACAGCAGCACUCAACUUAGUCUGGCAAAGACUAGAAGAAUGUUAUGGGUCAUCAGAAGCAGUCGAGCAUGCUCUGCUAAAAAAGCUUGAAUAUUUCCCUAAACUCACCAACAAAGAUAAUGUCAGGCUAAGGGAGUUAGGUGACAUUCUUCAGGAGAUAGAGUGUGCGAAAGAAGGAGGAUAUUUACCUGGAUUGUCAUAUUUGGACACGGCUCGUGGAGUGAAUCCAAUCGUGGAGAAAUUACCUUACAGCUUGCAAGAGAAAUGGGUAGCCACAGGAUCCAAAUACAAGGAUGACAAUGGAGUAACAUUUCCACCUUUUCGUUUCUUCUCCAGCUUUGUGAGACAACAGGCACGAGUGAAAAAUGACCCCAGUUUUGCCUUUACGUCCUUCAACACCCAAAGCUUGAAAACUGAGAGAUACACAAGAAGUGGUAACCGAGCUUCUGUAACUGUGCACAAAACAGAUGUUCCACAAGAUGCAAUGACUAUCCAGCGUAGCUACGGUGAGAAGAUAAUGGAAAGUCCUGAUAAGCUAUGUCCCAUUCAUAAAAAGCCCCACCCGUUAAAAAAAUGCAGGAGCUUCAGAGCUAAACAUAUUGAUGAAAGAAAAUCAUUUCUAAAAGAGAACCGUAUUUGCUUCAGAUGUUGUGGGUCAGUACAGCAUAUGGCAAAAGACUGCAGAGUGACACUAAAAUGUCUGGAGUGUAACAGUGAGAAGCAUGUCUCAGCACUACAUCCUGGUCCUCCUCCCACUACAACAGGGAGUCAAGAAGCUGACAAAGAUGAUGGCGGGGAGGUGAAUGGAAACGCUUUGACCCCAGUGACAUCUAAAUGUACAGAGAUAUGUGGCAAUUCAGAUGGUCAACAUUCCUGCUCCAAAAUCAGUCCAGUGAUAGUAUAUCCUGCUGGAAGAAGAGAGGAAUCAAAGAAAAUGUAUGCAGUGUUAGAUGAACAGAGUAACAAGUCACUCGCUAAAUCAGAAUUCUUCCAUCUUUUUAACAUUACAACCACAUCAGACCCAUACACACUGAAAACGUGUUCAGGGGUUACCAAAGCAAUGGGCAGAAGAGCUACAAACUUGAUGAUCGAAUCCAUUGAUGGCAAAAUACAACUACCACUACCAAGUCUAAUCGAAUGUGACAUGAUUCCUGACAACCGCACAGAAAUCCCAUCUCCUGAGGUGGCGCGUUGUCACCCACACCUACAGCGAGUUGCUGAGAGGAUUCCUCCUGUGGAUCCAGAUGCUUCCAUCCUCAUACUCUUGGGAAGAGAUAUUCUGCGGGUACACAAGGUGAGAGAGCAAAUUAACGGGCCCCACAGUGCUCCUUAUGCGCAGAGGCUAGAUCUGGGGUGGGUCAUUGUAGGUGACACCUGCCUAGGAACAACCCACAAGCCAUCGAGUGUUAAUGUCCUGAAAACACAUGUACUCAGUAACGGUCGUACAUCUAUUCUUAGCCCAUGUCCAAACAAAAUCUUAGUUAAGGAGACUCUCAGUCAAUCAUCACAUCUCGGAUGUUCUUCAGCCUCUUGUACACAGGAAGAGCGCCUUAGUGGUAGCAUAGACAUGUUGGGAUCUGCUGUGUUUGAAAGAACCAGGGAUGAUGAAAAAUCAGCGCUUUCAGUGGAUGAUCAGGUUUUUCUUGAAUUGAUGGACAGAGAAGUCUAUAAAAAUGAAGCCAACAGCUGGGUAGCGCCAUUACCAUUCCGUUCCACUAGGCAGUUCCUUCCAAGUAACAGAGAGCAAGCAAUGUCACGUCUUUAUUCUCUCAAGAAAACACUGGACAGAAAACCUGACAUGAAGAAGCAGUACAUUGACUUCAUGCAGAAAAUGUUAGAAAACGAUCAUGCAGAGCCUGCUCCUCCACUGGAGAAACAUAAAGAACACUGGUACUUACCGUCGUUUGGCGUAUAUCACCCUCAGAAACGUGACCAGAUAAGGGUGGUAUUUGAUUCAAGCGCUGAAUAUGAAGGAGUGUCCCUAAACAAAGUGCUGCUUAGUGGCCCUGACUUGAACAACAGCCUUUUGGGGGUCCUUUUACGUUUCAGAAAAGAACCUAUUGCGUUCACAGCUGAUAUACAGCAAAUGUUUUAUUGUUUUGUUGUAAACGAAGACCAUAGAGACUACCUCAGAUUCCUUUGGUAUGAAGACAACGAUCUCAGCAAGAUGGUGAGGGACUUCAGAAUGAAGGUCCAUGUGUUUGGAAAUAGCCCCUCACCAGCUGUGGCUAUUUAUUGCAUGAGGCGCGCUGCAGCAGAUGGUGAGAGAGAGUAUGGCGCUGAUGCCAAGCAGUUUGUCAUAAGACAUUUUUACGUUGAUGAUGGACUUGCAUCUGCUCCAACCCCUGAAGAAGCGAUUGACAUCCUAACAAGAACACAGCAGAUGCUAGCUGAUUCCAACUUGAAAUUGCACAAGAUAACAUCCAACAAUCACAAGGUUAUGGAAGCUUUUCCAGCUGAUGAGAGGGUCAAAGAUCUGAAAGAUUUGGAUCUAAGGUUAGAUGAUCUCCCUUUACAGCGCAGCUUAGGGGUCCUGUGGAACCUGGAAACAGACAGUUUCACAUUCAAAGUGUCUCAAGAGGAAAGACCAUAUACCAAGAGAGGUGUUUUGGCCACAAUCAACAGUUUAUAUGACCCUUUAGGCUUUGUGGCUCCUAUAACAAUGCAGGGAAAAGCUCUCCUUCGUGAACUCUCAGCUGAGCAGAAUGACUGGGAUGAACCACUUCCUCCAGAAAAGAAGGAUGAAUGGAGUAGAUGGAAAGAAUCGUUGAAUGAUCUCCAACGUCUCCAGAUACCAAGGUGCUAUGUUCCAUUCUCGCAGUCCUCUGCCCAAAGAAAAGAGCUGUGCAUCUUUUCAGAUGCCUCCAUAAUAGCAAUUGGAGCUGUUGCUUACUUAAAGUGUAUCGACAGUGAAGGUCAGCAGUACGUUGGAUUCAUUAUGGGCAAAUCCAAACUAGCCCCACGUCCCGCACAUACUGUUCCACGACUGGAGUUGUGCGCAGCUGUUCUAGCUGUGGAGCUUUAUGAGCUAGUCAGAGACGAGAUAGACAUUGACAUGGAUGCUGUGAAAUUCUACACCGACAGUAAAAUCGUCCUUGGAUAUAUUCACAACAGCACUAGGAGAUUUUACACAUAUGUUGCAAACAGAGUGAUUCGUAUCCGUAAGUCUUCUCAUCCUGAGCAGUGGCAUUACAUCUCUACAGAGAACAAUCCUGCAGAUCAUGCCACCAGACCAAUCCAUGCUUCUCUUCUGCAACACACAAAUUGGUUCUCGGGACCAUCAUGUUUAACACAAUCCCAUCCAGAGCCAGCACAGAUCGACAUCUUCACUCUAGUGGAACCUGAUGUAGAUGUGGAAAUACGACCUGAUGUAACGACUUUGAUUACAGUAACUUCAGAAACACAGUUGAAGUCACAUCGCUUUGAAAGAUUUUCUCAUUGGAUGACUCUGUGUCGUGCCAUAGCUUUGCUCAUCCGUGUGGCAAGAUCAUUCAAGACAACUGCCGAUCAGAGAAAUUUUCAAGGAUGGAAGUGUAACACUGAGGCAAGCACCGUAAGUGAGAUUCUUCGUGCAAAAGUUGUAAUUAUUCUCACUGUGCAGUCUGAAAUCUUCAAGGAAGAAUUCAAAUGUCUGGAAACAAAGCAGACAUUACCAAAGCAGAGUCCACUCAAAAAGCUUAACCCAAUCAUUGAUGAAGAUGGAUUGCUUAGGGUCGGAGGUCGUCUUGCACCUGCCAACCUGACAAAAGAAGAAAAGCACCCACUUAUUAUUCCUCGUACUCAUUACAUUGCUACCCUCUUAGUGAGAUAUUACCAUGAGAAGGUGAUGCAUCAGGGACGUCAUAUCACAGAGGGAGCAAUUAGAGCUGCAGGACUAUGGAUCAUUGGGAGCAAAUGCUUGGUCUCAUCUGUUAUCUUCAAAUGUGUCAUCUGUCGUAAACUCAGAGGAACACUACAGAUACAAAAGAUGGCAGACUUACCAGCAGACAAGCUCUCACCAAUGCCACCCUUUACCAAUGUUGGGCUAGAUGUCUUUGGUCCAUGGACGGUUAUGACACGUCGUACAAGGGGAGGCGCUGCAGACAAUAAAAGGUGGGCGGUACUUUUCACGUGCAUGACAACUAGAGCUGUGCACAUUGAGCUUGUGGAAUCAAUGUCCACAUCUAGCUUCAUAAAUGCAUUGAGAAGAUUUUUCUCAGUACGUGGACCUGCCAAGCUUCUUCGCUCUGAUAGAGGCACUAAUUUCAUUGGUGCCUGUAAAGAAUUGGGAAUCGACCACAGAGAUGCAACAUUAAACAGCUACCUUCAGGAGAAAAAUUGUACUUGGCAGUUUAAUCCCCCACAUUCCUCACACAUGGGGGGAUCGUGGGAAAGACUCAUUGGGAUAGCCAGGCGAAUUCUGGAUGCCAUGCUUCUUCAGUCUGUACAUACUCGGCUCACACAUGAAGUACUGAGUACCUUGAUGGCUGAGGUGAUGGCAAUAAUAAAUGCAAGACCAUUACUGCCAGUGUCUACCGACCCAGACAUGCCAACUGUUUUCACGCCAGCAAUGAUCUUAACCCAGAAGACCAGUGCUUUAGAGGCCCCAUCUGGCAACUUUGAUUCAGCAGAGCUGCAUACAAAACAAUGGAAGCAAGUCCAGUGUCUUGCAGACACCUUCUGGAAGAGGUGGAGGAGGGAGUACCUUGCCACUCUUCAAAGUCGUCGGAAAUGGACAGACGACAAGCCCAAUAUCAAACUGGGAGAUGUUGUUUUGCUCAAAGAAAAACAAGCUUACAGGAACGACUGGCCGGUGGGACGUGUCAUCAAAACAUUCCUCAGCAAUGACAACAAGGUUCGAAAGGCAGAAGUAAAAAUAGUAAAAGAUGGAACUAUGAAGGUUUUUCUAAGGCCAAUCUCUGACAUGGUUGUUCUUUUAUCUGAGGGUCAGUAAAAAGAUGUUCUCUGUAUCGCUUUUGUGCUAAAUCUUGUUUAAUAUUUUUUGUGACACAACCUUAUUGUGCCAGGCGGGGAGUGUUCUGACCUCUCUGAAGUAGUUUGAUUUAUUUAACAUAAUUGUGUUUGCAACACUGCCCUCUUUUGGUUAACCUGCAGCAGUACCUCUGGCUUAAGUUUCACUUUCAGUUAGUUGAGUGUGCCUCAGAGCAGAGUGCUGGUGUUGUUUUCUCUUGCUGCAAUUUCUUCCUUUUACAUUGUUGCCUUGGAUAUUAUUUGUCCACCUUUCCUCACCAGAGCGGGAAGCUGUGGAGGAGUUGUGUCCCGGCAUUCGCACCAGGCGGUACAGCGUGCCUCACAUCACCCUGGCUCCAGACACCCGGAGACGACCGAGGCAUGCAACGAGCGAGCACCCAUCUCGAUGCAGCUUCACGGACCGCGUUCGGGCGAACGGAGACGCCAUCGCCCAGCAUGAAAACGGUAAGACUCCGCUUGUCAUUGUAACCUGCACUACUUGCCACAUGUACAGUUUAGCUUCUUCCGUCAGCAUAGAGGGGUUUACAUGUGCUAAGUGUAUUGAAGUAGUAAGGCUGACGGAGAAGGUUGCAGAACUAGAAGCGCGCAUCCGAACGCUAGUUGAGGACAGUAAGACCGCUAAUGUUAAUGUUACGAA